rnacentral:rRNA from 1 species
CCUCGGAUCAGUAUGUCCCCGUCAUU